UGUCAGCAGCCGCGGUAAUACGAAGGGGGCUAGCGUUGUUCGGAUUUACUGGGCGUAAAGCGCACGUAGGCGGAUUGGUCAGUUAGGGGUGAAAUCCCAGGGCCCAACCCUGGAACUGCCUUUAAUACUGCCAGUCUUGAGUAUGGAAGAGGUAAGUGGAAUUGCGAGUGUAGAGGUGAAAUUCGUAGAUAUUCGCAGGAACACCAGUGGCGAAGGCGGCUUACUGGUCCAUUACUGACGCUGAGGUGCGAAAGCGUGGGGAGCAAACAGGAUUAGAAACCCUCGUAGUCC
rnacentral:rRNA from 1 species